GUAGGUGGCAAGCGUUGUCCGGAAUUAUUGGGCGUAAAGCGCGCGCAGGCGGUUCUUUAAGUCUGAUGUGAAAGCCCACGGCUCAACCGUGGAGGGUCAUUGGAAACUGGAGAACUUGAGUACAGAAGAGGAAAGCGGAAUUCCACGUGUAGCGGUGAAAUGCGUAGAGAUGUGGAGGAACACCAGUGGCGAAGGCGGCUUUCUGGUCUGUAACUGACGCUGAGGCGCGAAAGCGUGGGGAGCAAACAGGGAUUAGAUACCCUGGUAGUCCACGCCGUAAACGAUGAGUGCUAAGUGUUAGGGGGGUUUCCGCCCCCUUGGUGCUGCAGCUAACGCAUUAAGCACUCCGCCUGGGGAGUACGGCCGCAAGGCUG
rnacentral:rRNA from 1 species